GCUUUCUCCAUCUUUCAAAGGCCUGCGCCCACCAGAAAUUGGCGUCCGGUCCACCGACUCGAAUACGGAUAAAUACAUGACUAGAUUCUCCUAACGUGUUUAUUUUAUAUUAUAUCUGUCCUUUAUGGAAACAAUUUUGUCCCAGUAAUGGCUUUCUUCGUCUCUCUGUCGCCGACUCUCCAUCUGACUCCGAUUGUUUAAAGAAGACUCGACACCGUACAAGUAAUAAGCGACGUUGUAUGGCAAUCCACGAAGAAAGAUCGGGGGGUUAUUGUAUUUCUAGGUUUUGAAACUCAAUUACCUCGAGGGAAAGAGACUGUGAGAGGGAGAGAGCUUUGUCAAACCAAUUGAGGAAAUUGGGCUUUCGAUUUUCCGAUU